AAAGUGGCAAAACAAUUAAGAGUUAUUUAAGAUAUAGCGAAAUUUCUCUAUUCAUAUAAAAACUAAAAACAACUAGGAAAUAUGAUAAAAAGGGGUAUACAUGAAACAUGCUUGAUAGCUUGGGCUGCCUGUGGUCUAAUGGAGGUAAGCGGCGCGCCCAUCCUAUCACGUGAUCUCUAGGUAAGUCUAUUCGUCAAUACUACGCCAACAGGCAUUCAACAUCAAUCGUCUGGGAAGGAAAGAUGUAAACUGUUCUACAGGAAAAGUUUCUUUGUUUCUUUCAAGCAUGGUGCCCUUUUUUGACAUAAACCCAGAUAACUUUUAUGGAAAUUAGAAAAGGGGCUUUCUGUGGGUACUGGAACAAUGUCGAUAGCGAGUCAUCCGAUAAGAAGUUUUAACGGUGAAGACUGGAUCAUCACCAUUAGGAGAAGACUGUUAAAACUGGGGCAAGUAAAUGGAAACUCUAGCUGUUGCUCUUCAAGGUCAGAGAGCUGAUUCAAUGGGUGGUGGCAUGCAACAUGAUCCACAUGUCAUGAUCUCUAGGUAUUAAUUACUAAUAUUGUAUGAUUGAAAUCUACUUCGUGUAUCGCAUUACACAAAUAUUGAAAGAUUCGACCAGUAAAAACUUUUUGUUUGCUGUAUUGGCUAGACAGCCGGAAAGGUUAGAUCCGCACAAAGAAAUACCUAUUAUGUUAUAGAUAACAACACGUCAAACUAUGGGAGAGAAUCUUCUCCUGUUGCUGUCGACCUCUUAAUUUUUCUAUAAUAACCUUUUUAUAAGAACGUCCAGCCUGAGUGCUUUUAAGCACUUAAAAGAACUUUAAAAGAACAUGCUAAGAACUAGUCGAGGCUAAGAUAGAAGCAAAAUAUUGUUUUGUGUGAUGCGUUGUAAAAUGCAGAAUCAAAUUGUGUUAUAUUUUUUUGUAAUUUUCUUCCAUAGUCUUGAGGUAUUAUACUCUGUGUACCAGAGGCUCCAAACCUCUCUCGCCCAGCGACGCUCAGCCAAAAUAUCACGACAAGCGAAGCGAGGAGGCUCUGGGUGGGCGAGUAGCUUUUUUCAGUUCCAGAAAUACAGGUUUUGUAUUCUGCAGCUGAUUGGUCAUCAACGAGAUUGUCAUAGCUUCGCUCGUCACGGCAUUUUGGCUGAGCGUCACUGGACGAGAGAAGUCUGGAGGCUCUGGUAGAGGUAUUAUACUUUUAUAUAAACUGAACUAUACAGCCUCAACUGAAACUGAUAUGUUUUAUUUAAAAAGUGUAUUCUUUGUACCAUUUGACCCCAAAAUUGAGCGGAUUUUCUUGUAUAUCCUUGAUAUUAUUUAGCGCUCGAUAAAAAAAUAUUCUAUAUUAAAAUAAUUACUGAAACUAUGAUUGAUAUAUCACUAUUCUAGGAUGAUUAAAUAAAACGGCCACGAUUAGCCAUAGUUAAAUCAUUAGCUGGAAAAGUGAUAUGGGUUUGUUAUUGCAGAACUCAGAAGGAAAACAACGCAUUGGCGUCCGUAACAUUCACAUUUUGUUGAGCUCUUGUACACGAAAAUUAACAAAAUAUAUCACCAAAUUCUAGGUCUCCCCUUGUCCUGUUAUCCUCAACUUUUUUAUUUUGCCAUUUUAGUAUUAGUGUGGGUUGUGGCAUUUAUUUUGGAAGAAUUAUAUCAGACCGUUUUGUUUCUUGCAUGGAUUUGUUAGCGACACGCGAGAGAAAGCCCAUUGACGAUUGUUGGUUUGUUAACCUGCUGCAUUGCGAAGUUAAAACCAUUUUUUAUACAUUAAUUAAGAGCGAAAUGGAAGGGAUGUGAUAUGUUAUUCAAUAAAUUAUGUUUUUAUUGAUUCUCAAAUGAAAAAUCUCGUACCAGACGGCAUAAUUUUUGAGUGAUACGGAACUGUACCAGCUGCUAGCGGAACUACUCCCACUAUGUGCAAACAAAAAAAUACCAUAUAAAUCAAUAACAUUUUAAAAUGUGUAAGUAAAAUUUGUAGUUUUGCGGAGGGUCCAUGAGCAUUGGAUCCUCCGCAAAAAAGAUAGAGAAAUUUUAAUAUUAAGUGAUAUGGAACUGGUCAUCGUACUGUACAGUACAAAACAGUACAAAACGACGCCUACCGAAUGACUGAAACAAAAGGCCCACAUAAUAAAAAUUAACCGUUUAGAACUAACAUUACUGGUAAUAAAAUGAUUAAUUGAAAACGGGAUAAUAAAAUCAAUCCUUUUUGCGGCUUGUUAUCUUUUAAUCAAACCAAAUACACACUAGGGCCCCCGAAUGGUCCCCCGAAAUUUCGAUGUGCUCGCAGUUUCCGGCUAAUGCUCGCAUGCUCGCGCAAUUUUUUCCGCCUAAAAAUGCUCGUCUUGCAUAAAAAAACGGGGUGCUCGCAAGCUUACAAGUGCUCACCAAAGACCAUUCGGGGGGCCUACUAUGGGCGCAGGGUAAUACGGAACUAUACCCACGACCUCCGGGAAGCACGAAAAAGCAAUGUAAAUCGAAAUAAUCGCAUCAAGCCAGAAAAAAAAACUAGUACACAUUAACAGACAUUCUUUCUUCUAAGCAUUCGUGUAAAAAUUAGGACAUUUAUGUUAAAGGAGGUAUUGUUUUCAUCUAACUUUCUAGACGCGGAUUUCACUGAGUAGUAAAUGCCGCUCAUUUUAGCAACAAUUAUGAAAAAUCGCUUCGAAAUAACGAUAAUUUCUGAACAAACCAUUGGAUGAAAUAAGCUGGAUUUAUAUCUCAUGAAAGGUUAACAUUUUUGUAUCAUUUAGGUAGUUUUGGAUUGUUCAAAUCUACAAUAUUCGAGGCAAAAAGAUAAAAACAAAUGCUGAGUGAUACGGAAUUAGGACUGCUAUGGAACUGGUUAUUGUACUGUACGCGGCUCAUGGAAUACGACGUUUGAACUUAGCCUCAGUUCAAUAAAUCUUUUUGGUUUAGUCCUGCGUUUGACGAACAGCGCAAGGACAAGCAAAGACAACUGGUCAGCUCGUACUAUUGUUCAAUAUUCGAAUUUUAACUCAGUGGCAGCUAUAAAAUUCGGAAUUUUGGAUGUAUUCUUCGCCGAAAUUUUCCGUGGGCAAACGAUUGUAUUGCUCAUCAAGAAGAAGAAACAGAUGUGUGUGCGUGUUGUGCAAUUUGCUUGCAUGAUUUUUUAGUUGGCUAGGGAUCAGAAAUAAUUAUAGAAAUGAUAUACCAAAUGUUUUAUCAUGUGUUAGCUUUUUCUUGUUGCAGUAAUAAGAAUUGAGGCGCUAAACAAGGAAUUACACGUACAAAUAAGAUUAUUUUAGUAUCUAAAAUAUAUGGUCUUAUUACCUUAUAUACAUUUUUAUUAAUAGCUCUAAAAAAGGGCAAUUAAAACUCCCUAAGCAAAAUGAAUUCCAGUGUUGGCUGAAGAAGGGAUAUUAAAGGAGGGCGAAAGCGGAUA